rnacentral:lncRNA from 10 species
AAUUGCCCGAGAGCAGCCUCCACUCUCCCAGAGGCCGUGGGGCAGAAAUUCCAAGUCCCUGCCUCUGAGAAGGGGGUCCUUUGGCCACCUCCCUCCGCGGUCCUGGCCAACAUGUCUGCAUCUCUGAAAUGGAGCUUUCCUCUCUCCUGGGCUGUUCGGAAACCGCCUUCUGGGAUAGACAUCUCCAAGGAAGAGCUGUGUCUACUUUGUUUCUUCCCCGCCUCUCACACCCGGUUCAAUGUGAUACCACAAAUAUGGCGAGCUGUUUGAAAUAAUUUGCAGAACCCAACACUGAAGACAAGCUCCAACCUUCCAGGGUAUAUUUUGAGUAUUUUAGCACGAGUGUCAAGAUUUUAUGCGUUACAGUAUGCUCAUGAUAUCUUCCCUGCGGUUUAUUUUGGGCGAGAUAAAAUCUGUAGCAAUUAGUUUCUCACAAGUCUAUUUUAUGCAGAAGAAUCUGUUAUUUCCUAGGCGUGUGAUUUCUUUGGUUUUACCUUUACCAUGAGUGUCUUCCUUCCCAGAUCUCUGCUCCCCCUUGGGGUUGGCAGUUGUCCUUCGCUUCUGCCUUCUGGGCUGUGCUCCGUCCCUUAAAUGCUGUUUGGGAAGACGUCAAGUGCAAAUGAGGAAGCUGCUGUAGGUAUCCCUGCGAUCGAAGGAAAUAAAAAUUCUGUCUCUCUGGAAUUAGGAAGAGCAUGCAGAACGUUGAAAGGGUUUAAGAUGGACUAAGGUGUGUGUGAAAAUGCCUCUUUUCAAAAAACCAGAAAAGAGAGCCUGCACUAAUUACAUGAUUGUGCUUUCUUUUUAAAAAAGUUUCCAAUUUUACUUAAAUGGGAGAGAAACCACAGCGGAUGAGGCACUCCAGGCCUUUUUCUUUUUUUCAGCAGUGGAGCAGCAGAAAUCAUGGAUCACAAGUGUCUCUGUAAUCAGGCUGCACCGAGACAUUUCUCGGCAUUUCUGAUGUUUCAACCCUACCCCACCUGCCAGGAGGAGGCUCCAGCCCGCCAGGAGGGCAGGAGGCCAUUGCUGCUGCCACUCCAGAACCUCAUAAGGGUUUAUUGUCUGCCCACAGUGUAUUUGUCAAGGUGGGCACCUUGCGUCGUGGGGCACUCUGUUUUUUUUUCUCUCUCUUUCUUUAUAUAUAUGCAUACACAGACACACACACACAAACACACACACACACACGGUCAUUGCAGUUUACAAAGAAAAGAAAAGAAAAAAAAGAAGAAAAGAAAAGAAAAAAGGCAAACCAAUUCCCCUCUGUCUGGGACCCAGAUCAGAGCCAGCCUGCCAUGACCAGUCUGGAAGAAGGUGGCAGAGAGGUGGGGCAGCUUCCCGAGGCCUGGGAGGUGCGUCUCCAUGGCAACUGCGGGGCUUUCCCAGAUGAUGUCACACAUCACACAGGAUUCCUGAGAUCCACCUGGAGAUUGGCUGGUGAAGGAUCACUGCCUUUUAUCUUGUUCCAACUCUUUAUUUGCGCUAUAGACAGGCACUGUUUCUUACUUUAGCUCCGAGAGCAGUUUCUUCUUGAUACCUAAACUGCUGGGCUGACCCCUUGUAUCCUAGAUUCUUUACAAGGGGGAAAAAUAUGUUUUUUAAACAAACGUGUUACCAGGGUGAAGUCUGAGGAGCUGGAAGGGAGGG